UGAGUAACCUGCCCUGGACUUUGGGAUAACCCUCGGAAACGGGGGCUAAUACCGGAUAUGACGCACUCUCGCAUGGAAUGUGUGUGGAAAGUUUUUCGGUCUGGGAUGGGCUCGCGGCCUAUCAGCUUGUUGGUGGGGUGAUGGCCUACCAAGGCGACGACGGGUAGCCGGCCUGAGAGGGCGACCGGCCACACUGGGACUGAGACACGGCCCAGACUCCUACGGGAGCA
rnacentral:rRNA from 1 species